rnacentral:rRNA from 1 species
AAGCUAAACGUAGAUGGAACACAGUAUGUGGUCACUGAAUAUUUUGACGAGCACAACCACAUACUCAUAAAGAAGUUUGAUCUGGUCAAAUUUCUGACCGCCCACAGAGGGUUCACCCCAGUCGAAAGGCUCGUAAAGCUGCUACAUAAUUGUAACGUCGGUCCAUCAAGAAUGGUCCAGAUACUAUCACUCAUCCACAGCAAAAAGGGGAAACUGAGUAGCAUGCCGUACAUACCAGCUGACGUCACAAACCUACAGGCCAAGUACCGUAGAGAGAGCAAGCUGGCUGACAUAGAGGCCAGAAUGGCCUAAUUCGAUGAGAAAGCGAAGGAAGAUCCAGAUUUCUUCUACAGGAUAAGGUUGGACGAUGAGGACCGUGUCAGGAACAUGUAUUGGGUGGAUGGUGCUGCAAGGAGAGCCUACAAACAUUUCCGAGAUUGCAUUUCAUUCGAGACGUAUCUAACUAAUAUGUACAAGAUGCCAUGCGCUCCGUUCAUAGGAAUAAAUAACCACAACACGGAUAGGUACGUUUGGCUGUUCAAGACCUUCUUGGAGUGCAUGGAUGGACUUGCUCCGAUGAACAUAAUAACAGACCAGGAUUUCAGCAUGCGUGCAAGCAUAGAGGAGGUAUUUCCGUUGGCAGUGCACAGGCACUGCAGGUGGCACAUUAUAAAGAAGGCUAAAAAGACGCUAGGACCGUUCUUUGCUACUACACAGCGCAGCGAGGGGUUCAAUGCUGUUUUGAAGCGGUACGACGGCAUUGUGUGUUGUCACAUACUAAAAGUAAUGGACAUGAACACUGUGACACGGAUGCCCCACCAUUUCAGAAGGCGGCGAUGGACUUGGGACGCUGACGAUGCGUUUGCGCCGCAGACAAUAAAUGCAGUUCUGGCUAUGCAUGACGAGAGACCUGAGGCAACCAUGGAAGCCGUGAGGCACGUUGUGCUGACAAAGAACUAUGCUGAGCUAAUUGAUGAAGCGUGCAAGAGUGAUGAGACAGCGAGAGUCGCAGAAAAACACAGGAAGGCCCUAAAAAGAGAGCUUGAUGAGAUCAAGAAGAGGAAAGUUGAGGAAGCCUUACACCGGUUCCCCCGCACAUCAAGUGUGCCUUCAUCCACGGGGCCAUCAUCUGAAAACUUUGAGAUAGGAUCUGGAACAGCAAGCACACAAACCCAGGUCAGUAACCCACCCCGUUCCAUCACAAAGGGUCGUCCAAGAGAGAUAAGGUAUAAAUCGGGAUUGGAGAUUCAAGCAAAACACAAGAAAACGAAGAAAAGGGAUGGGCAAUCCAUAAGCAAAAGUUGGGGCACUGUGACAUGGUCCUUGUGGACAUUUUGUUUUGUACCCUAG